rnacentral:rRNA from 1 species
CAAUAGUGUAUAUUAAAGUUGUUGCGGUUAAAAGCUCGUAGUUGGAAUUCAGAAUGCGUGUGACGUGGCCGCCCCAAUUGGGGUUGUGCUGGUCGCUGCGCUUCUUUUAAUUUAGGACACGUUGCUAAGCUCGCCCUUGUGGUGUGGUUUGGCAUGUUCCUGAACUUUUACUUUGAAAAAUUAGAGUGUUCAACGCAGGCGUAACCUGGCCUUGAAUACAUUAGCAUGGGAUAAUAGAAUAUGACUUUGGUCUUAUUUUGUUGGUUUCUAAGGCUAAAGUAAUGAUUAAUAGGGACAGUUGGGGCCAUCCGUAUUGAGUGGUCAGAGGUGAAAUUCUAGGAUUCUCUCAAGACGAACUACUGCGAAAGCAUUUGGCAAGGAUGUUUUCAUUAAUCAAGAACGAAAGUUGGGGGAUCGAAGACGAUUAGAUACCGU